UACCAACCUAUUCAAUUUAGAAGAUUGAGUCUCAAAUAUUAUUGCUUGACGGUCUGAUUUAGCCCAUACCAAUUAGAUCAGUCAUGUGAUAAUUGAUUAAAUGAGACCUAAAUCUAAAUCUCUUCAUAAAUAUUAAAUCUAAUGAUCUUCCACCAUUGUAGAUGUGUGGGCGUGCUACCGACGUUGAUUAUUCUUGACUGGUCAUAGUGGUUCAGUUGCAUCAAAAACACGCAACCACUCUAUUAGCAAAGAGUUGCUCCAGGAUAAAGAUGGUGUUGAACCCAAUAACUGUUAGGUGAGGGAUCUAAUGAUGACUUUGCACCUGCUUGUGAACGGUGGGUCUGACUUAACUAAAGAAUAUGGUUAAUAACUGUUAGGUGAGCCUACAUGACUUAGAGAUCAAGUCACUACAAUAUGCUUCAAGAAGUAUCUGAACAAAGAGUUAUCCAUACAUCGAUGUGCAUGUUACUAAUAACUAUUAGGUGAGGUGCAUGGCAUCGAUGGGAUCGCCAAUACCCACUAGAAAUCAGUUGUCGCGAUAGGAUUUUUGUUUGUCCACCCGAAGAGUGUGGGAGAUCUAAUAAAAUAGUGAGUCUUUUUGCAUCUAAAAAUUUUUAGGAUAAAUUAUAAAAUAAGUAUAAACAUUCAAUUAGAAUCUUUGCUCUCUAAUGUUCAUUGUGUCAGCUUCCAACCCUCUAGCUUGAAUCCUAGAUAUCAACCGUUUAAUCGAAAUCAAUUACAUAGAAUAGCUCAGAAACCUAAGAAUUAUUUUUAAUUUUAAAAAAUUAUGCAAUAUUCUCUAUCAGGUUAUUUUGAUGUUAACAGCCUGUCCAGCCUGAAAUCAACGAGCUAUGCUUGAUGAGUGGAUGGACAAUGACAAUAAAGAUAGAUAAUAUAUGUUGAAGUUCAUGUUAUAUGAACUCCAACAUAUGCAUGAGCACAUGUUCACUGCCAAUGACACAUUGAUUCAUUUAUAAUGUUGUGAGGUGAUCAAAGUCGCACAAUACAUAAGAUGCGUGAUAGACAGUUAGUCUAUGAUCAUUAUUUGAUAAUGAUCAAAGACAUUAAGGAGCUUAAAAGGCUCGACAUGACCAUGCAUAAAGAAUUGCUUAUGAAUUUGAUCUUGUGAUUCAUAUUUAGUUUAUAUGAAUAGUUUAUGAUAAACUACCAUAUAAAUAACCAUCUUGGCAUCUUAUCCGAAUUGGUCAAAGUGUUGGUAACAAAGAAAUUUUGAAAGAGUUCAGAGAUAAAUACUUGGAGAGCCUAAAGAAACAAAGACAUGCCUAGAGUAGGCAUGUCAAAAUUGCUUAAUACUAUCCUUAUGAUUUUCUUUUCUUUCAGUUGAGUUUUAGAUCCUAGCGCUUUUUAUGCAUAGUCUAUGGAAAGGUAGAGGGAUGAGAAAGUAACCCUUGAAAUUGGUAAUAGGACAAGAGUUGCUGCUAUGACCAUGGGUGUCUGUCCUUUGUGAUUAUCAUUUAGAUUUAGUUCUUAGAAACAGUCUCUAUCAUUUGCAUUAUGACGCAUCUGUGAACUUAAUUGGACAAGCAAUGAAUGCCAUUAAAUCUGAGAGAUCUAGAAUUGAGAUAAAUCUUGAGUAUAUGUAGAGCCUUAGGCUAAGUCAUAUAGGAGAAGAAAUGAUUAACAAACUGAAGAAUUAUGAGCUUUUGGGCUCAUUAACUAUUUAGUCAUAUCUAGUUUGUGCAACAUCUCUUUGAAAAAAUAUGAUCAAACUACUCUUGUGGGACAAAAGGAAAAGGACCACUGAGAUACUUAUCUUUGUACACAUUUGAUGUGUGUAGCCCAUGUGAUGUGCUAACAAAAAAGUUAUCUCUACUUCGUUACCUUUAUCGAUGAUCAGUCAUGAUAUGGGUAAGUAUAUGAGAUACAAAUCUGAAAUUUUUAAAAGGUUCAAAGAAUUCAGAUGUAAGUAGAGAAGUAAAUCAAAAAAUUUUUAAAGAUACUUCGAUUGGAUCGAAGAUGCAAUACCAAUGAAAAAAAAUUUUGAUUAUCUCAUAAAAUGACAUAGUUUCAUAUUGGACCACUCUUAAUACAUCUC
rnacentral:lncRNA from 1 species